rnacentral:rRNA from 1 species
AGAGUUGAUCAUGGCUCAGGAUGAACGCUAGCUACAGGCUUAACACAUGCAAGUCGAGGGGCAGCAUAACGAAAGCUUGCUUUGUUGAUGGCGACCGGCGCACGGGUGAGUAACGCGUAUCCAACCUUCCCUGUAGUAGAGAAUAGCCCGGCGAAAGUCGGAUUAAUGCUCUAUGUUGUAUUUCGAAGACAUCUGAAGAAUACCAAAAGGUUUACCGCUAUAGGAUGGGGAUGCGUCUGAUUAGGUUGUUGGCGGGGUAACGGCCCACCAAGCCUACGAUCAGUAGGGGUUCUGAGAGGAAGGUCCCCCACAUUGGAACUGAGACACGGUCCAAACUCCUACGGGAGGCAGCAGUGAGGAAUAUUGGUCAAUGGACGGAAGUCUGAACCAGCCAAGUAGCGUGCAGGAUGACGGCCCUAUGGGUUGUAAACUGCUUUUAUAUAGGGAUAAAGUCGGGGACGUGUCCCCGUUUGUAGGUACUAUAUGAAUAAGGACCGGCUAAUUCCGUGCCAGCAGCCGC